rnacentral:rRNA from 1 species
CCUGCCUACGGGACGCAGCAGUGGGGAAUAUUGGACAAUGGGGGGAACCCUGAUCCAACGACGCCGCGUGAGUGAAGAAGUAUUUCGGUAUGUAAAGCUCUAUCAGCAGGGAAGAAAAUGACGGUACCUGACUAAGAAGCCCCGGCUAACUACGUGCCAGCAGCCGCGGUAAUACGUAGGGGGCAAGCGUUAUCCGGAUUUACUGGGUGUAAAGGGAGCGAAGACGGUGCAGCAAGUCUGAUGU